GUCUACAGUCAUACCAUUCUGAAAGUGCCCGAUUAUGUAUGAUCUUGGAAGGUAAGCAGGGACAGGCCUAGUUAGUACUUGGCUGGGUGAGUUAGGGUCUUGCUAUGUUUUCCAGGCU
rnacentral:rRNA from 1 species